rnacentral:rRNA from 1 species
CCUACGGGGGGCAGCAGUAGGGAAUCUUCCACAAUGGGCGCAAGCCUGAUGGAGCAACGCCGCGUGUGUGAUGAAGGGUUUCGGCUCGUAAAACACUGUUAUAAGAGAAGAACGGCACUGAGAGUAACUGUUCAGUGUGUGACGGUAUCUUACCAGAAAGGAACGGCUAAAUACGUGCCAGCAGCCGCGGUAAUACGUAUGUUCCAAGCGUUAUCCGGAUUUAUUGGGCGUAAAGCGAGCGCAGACGGUUAUUUAAGUCU